rnacentral:lncRNA from 1 species
CAUGUUGGAUAGUAUUUAUUAUGAUGGUGACUGUUCAUUUUAAGCCAAGUGCUACUCAUAGGGGUUUGAUAGAGGUAGGAGGGGGAUGAUGGAGAAACAUGGGUGGGAAUUUACAAGGAAAGUACAUGGAAGAGUAAUUACUAGGGAAAUAUAUUGAUGUACUACACUCCCUUUUGAUGUAUGUGGGUACCUAACUUGCUCCUCUGGGGACAUCCCUUGUGGUUUUAUGAAAAUGAGAGAGAGAGAGAGAGAGAGAGAGAGAGAGAGAGAGAGAGCUAGGUACUACUUCUAUGUUUUAUGUUCAAUGUUUUACCAAGGCCCUACGAAAGGUGAUCCAAUAACAUUUUGAGGUGAUCAGAGCUAUAUGAUUGGGAAGGUACUUACUUGCUUUCUCUUUUUAUUACAAGGAUGCCUAUCACAAUGUAGAGAGAGAGAGAGAGAGAGAGAGAGAGAGAGGAGAUGUUCACAAGGCUAGCUUGUCCAGAGAGGCGGAGAAAGGUUGUGAAAAGAAUGUCUUCUUAUUUUGGCUUUCCAUUUAUUCUUUUUGUACUAUUAACUUCAUUUUACUUUUACCACCAGUAGCUAGUUACUCCUAUCUUACCUUCUAUGAGGAAUUAUUAUGCGGGUUCGUACUAAAAGUUUACAUGUAACAAUUCUCCUAUUGAAAUAAUAAGUAGAGAAAUAAAAGAUUGAUAUAUGUUACUGGAUCCAAAUGUACAAUUUUGUGCUUUUGGGGUGAAUAGAGAUAAAUAUGCUAAUAGAUUAAUUUGCACAUAUUUAGGCUUAAAUGUGCUUCGGUCGUAUGUGAUCUUUUUCAAUAAUUAGUAUCAAAGCCAAACACUUUAACAUCCUAGGCUUCUCUUCCAAGCGGUACGGUAUUACUGAUUUAAUAACUCUUGUGGUCAUGACAAAUUGGUAAGGAGAUAGACUCACGGUAAAAUAAUAUAGUGCACUCAAAAGAACGAGAACCUCCCAGUUAGGGCAAGGAGACGAGUGCAAGAUCAUCAUAUGGUUCAGGGUGUAGUGAUUCAUAAAUAGCUUAAAGAGGCAUGUGAUGGAGAAGGACCAGUAAUGCUUCAAGAAUACAAGAUUAGAUCCAAAACAUAUAAAGAAAAAGAUUGUUACACAUUCUUUGAAGGUAAUAAUAAUGGUACGUGAAAAUAAUAAUUAACUAGAACAACAAUUCCUUAAGGGAGGAUUUCACCUUACGUGAAAUUUCCUUGAGGAAGGAAUUUGGAGUUCACCUUAUUGUCAGGUUUGAUGUACUUGAGAUACACUUUCAAAUACGACAUAAUUGGAUCGACAUUUCAUAAAAGGAAAACACUGAUUCCGCGGAGCACUCACUAGUUUGAUACUAGAAGAAUUUCUGAUUUUGUACUGCUACACAGUAAGUAGAACUCCGGAUCUUACAAAUAUAACCUCUAUCAUCUGUUUAAUUUCAAUGUCGAUAAAGUUAAAGCAAGAUUUAUUUGGCCAAUAUCUUGCAUCUUCCUUUCCUCCUCUACUCUUUCACAUCUAAGUUUCUUCUACUUGAGAUGAUCAUGAAUCAAGAUCAAUGAUUCAUAAACUAUCUUUCUUAUAAUGACCUUAAUUAUAAUUUGACCCAACCCAAUCCAUAACCUGACCAUUCUCAACUAAUCCAUGAUUUGAGUUGGGUCAAUCAAUCCAAAAAUAUUUUUAUGCCAUCCGAAUUAACCUUGUUGUAACAUUAGCAUAAUCCCAUUAAUCUACUUGGAGUUGUGACUCCAAGCAAUAAUUAAAGGGGCUUUAGAAAAAGAUUUUGCAGAUUAAUAUGAUCCCUG